AUGAAUAGACGUAAAAAAAGAAAAUUUGCCGGGAACAUCAUCGAAUCCCUGAGGGAAAUUUAAUUUCCCUGUCAGCUGUCUAAAACAUCCUCCACACUCCGCACAAAUCACUAUGACAGAAUGUUUUCAUAUAAUAUGAAAAGCUCGGGCCAGACGUGGCCCUUGCGGACUACUCAAUCAUCUCUCUUAAUCCAGGACUAAGGUCUACAGGACUAAAGUGUCGCGUAAACGGCUGGCCGAAUAAAAUAUCCGAAGGAAGUUAUCUUUCCUCGAGGAGACGAAGCUUAUGAAAUACACGGUUUCAAUUAGCGUUCGUUCUUCUAUUCAAAUGGCAAGGGAUUAGAAUCGGCUCGCAGCCGCGUAAAUUAUUCCGAUGAAAUUAAAAGAUACUACGUUUCCUUCCUCUUCAUUUUCUUCUUCUUCUUCUUCUUCUUCUUCUUCUUCUUUUUCUACAUCCUUCUAUUAAAAUACAAUUCCUGCGCGAGGAUUUCUCUCAAUUAUUGGAGUCCACUAAUGAAUCACGAUUUCCUUGUUUUACCUUUCGAGUUUCAUCUCUGCUCUGUAACAGUCUGAUCUAUAGAUACUCUUUCUGAAGAUUACUUAAGAGUCACCAUUAUGAAAUGGCUUUAGAACGAAAUUUCUGUUUACAGUCCCUGGCCAUAUUAAUGUGACCAUUUGGAAAUUUUACAGGAAAACAAACUUUUUGCUCUUAAAUAAUAAAACAUGACUUCAUAAAAAUAUUAAAUUAAUAUUAAACACAGUAUUCAAGAAACAACGUUCUUUUUAUUACAUGCAAAAAACAUUUUAAAUCAGUAUUUAGUUAUUACCCCCUUUGAUGUUAUGACGUAUACUUUGUAUGCAUUUGAAGCACAUACCUUUUAAUAUUUUCUUUAAAAAUUUCUCGGUUCAGAAGAAACAUCUAAUUACAUACGAUGACCUUUUUCUCAGUGUUACCAGUGCAUAAGAAACCAUAGCCUCUAUUUUUACUGAAUAUGUUGCCAUAAUAAUAAAAAUACAUUUCGGCGUCAAAGAAUAACAAUUAUGCUUCAAAAAGUUGGUGUUAGUUACAUUUUAUUUAAUGUAGACAAGUAAUCACAUUAAUAUGGCUGGGGACUGUAAUUUCUAAAAAAAUUUCAUUUCAUUAUUUGCAUAAUCCGCAUUUAAUUAUUUGCAAAACAUAAAAGUUUUUUCCUGUGCGCAGUAAACAAGAAAGUUUAGCAUUUAAGUAAUCUCUUUCCGUGAUCGUUUCUACUACUUGGUGAGAGUAGAACCGGUGAAAUUAUAUGCAGGUUCGUCAUAAAUAUUUAUACGUAGUUUCUUGGCAAUUUAUCGCAUAUUUAUUCAAAGUAGAACAGAGUCGAAUGAGAAGGUACGUGGAAGUGUCAAAAUGGGACAGAGCAUAAAGUUAAGCACUCUACGUUCAAGCAAGGCUAAUAGGGAUUCUCAUUUAAUAACAGUGACAGUAGAGUCGGUGCGAGCUUACAGGAAACACUUUGCCAAUUUGUCGGAUAUAGAAGUUGCAUGUCAUAUUCUUGCUUCUGUUUUAAGUGGCCGUUGGUACAUUCUGCUCAUAUAACGAGGUAAUUAGUAGACAGAAACCAGAUCAUUUAAUUGUAUGUAAUUUUGAUUGGUUGAUUGAUUGAUUGAUUUCUUUGUAGAUCUAUACAGUACUGGACGACUUAAUCUUAUAUCUGUAAAAUAUAAUAUAUGUAACAGAAUCAUUUAUCUUUAAUAA